GACGAACGCUGGCGGCGUGCCUAAUACAUGCAAGUAGAACGCUGAAGGAGGAGCUUGCUUCUCUGGAUGAGUUGCGAACGGGUGAGUAACGCGUAGGUAACCUGCCUGGUAGCGGGGGAUAACUAUUGGAAACGAUAGCUAAUACCGCAUAAUAGCAGUUGUUGCAUGACAACUGUUUGAAAGGUGCAAUUGCACCACUACCAGAUGGACCUGCGUUGUAUUAGCUAGUUGGUGGGGUAACGGCUCACCAAGGCGACGAUACAUAGCCGACCUGAGAGGGUGAUCGGCCACACUGGGACUGAGACACGGCCCAGACUCCUACGGGAGGCAGCAGUAGGGAAUCUUCGGCAAUGGAAGGAAGUCUGACCGAGCAACGCCGCGUGAGUGAAGAAGGUUUUCGGAUCGUAAAGCUCUGUUGUAAGAGAAGAACGAGUGUGAGAGUGGAAAGUUCACACUGUGACGGUAUCUUACCAGAAAGGGACGGCUAACUACGUG
rnacentral:rRNA from 1 species